UAUUAAUCGGUGCAAAUACGUCCACACUGACACUGUUACUUACCAUAAACAUUCCCUCUUUUGAUUUUGUUUUCAAUUGAACUUCUUCAACAGGAUGAAACGUGCCAUAGAGUCCAGCACUACGCAACAAUGUCGUUUCUGCAUGAAAAACUCGGUAACAUCGGAGGAUAUCUUCUGCAAGGAGACUACGGGUUCGAGCAUUUCUGAAAUGUUGAAUGGUCUUUUGAGCGAGGACUGCCAGGUUAAACGGGAUGCACUGCCGCAGUGUGCCUGCCUGGCCUGCAUACUGGCCACAAAAAGUGCCUUUAGCUUCAAGAUGAAGUGUGAGGAGAGCUAUCGAUUCUUGUCUCAGCUCCUGCUGAACACACGCGUUGCAGAGAACAAGUUUGUAGAUGAGGUACACAACAGCGAAGAUGAGAGGCCACCCAGUGAGAUACCCUUUGAAGAGGCUGGCUUCGAAGAGCAGCUAGAUAGAAAGGAAGGCUUGUCAGAGACGCAUGAGGUAGCGGAUCGGUUGGAGUUGGCAAAGGAAACCUGUCCCCACGUUGAGGGAAAUCAGGAAAUACAGAGGGUUAGACAGGAGAUGGCUGAAAUGAAGGAGGAGGCAGACGGAUUGCGAGAUGAAAAUAAGCAGUCGAUCGUUGCUCUUAAGACCGAUUCGAGGACAAAUCAAUCCACCUCUUUGCUGUGUUCCCAGUGUGGUUUGACUCUGAAGUCAAAGUACACGCUGGCCCAGCACAUGGCCGCACACAAGAAACAGUUUGAGCGAUCCCAUCUUUGCGAGACCUGCGGCAAAGGCUACAGAAGCAGAGCCCAAUUAAUAAUACACAAGCGCACGCACACCGGCGAGCGACCCUAUCAAUGCUCCCACUGCCCGAAGACAUAUUUCCAGAGAACGGCUCUCAAGGCGCAUUUGAUUACCCAUGGCAAGGAGCGUCCAUAUAAGUGCUUACAGUGCCAGAAAGCAUUUUACCUGCCGAGGAAUUUGAAGGACCACCAAAAGCAGCACAAUGGCGAGCGACCCUUUCAGUGUGUCAAUUGCCCUUUGGCCUUCACAAAGAAAGCCAAUCUGAGGACACAUAUGCGACAGCACACAGGAGAGCGACCGUUUAAUUGCGACAUCUGUGGCUUGACAUUUGUCCAGAAUCAGCAUCUAAUAACCCAUCUUCGUGUCCACAACGAGGAUCGUCCCUUCAAGUGCAGCGACUGUGAUAAAUCAUUUUUCGUUAGCGCCAAUCUAAAAAAGCAUCUGCGCGUCCACACCGGCGAGAAGCCCUUCAAGUGCGCUGUCUGUGGGCAGGACUUCAAGCACAGUCAUCAUCUCAAAUCCCAUAUUCGCAGUCAUACUGGCGAGCGGCCCUACAGGUGCAGCGAGUGCGAAAAGGCCUUCGCCUCCAACCAAUCGCUGCAGAAACAUAUUGUGUGGCAUGCAAGCAAUAGAGAUCGGGCCUACAAGUGCGCCCACUGCCCCAAGGGCUUCGACAGCUUACGCGGCCUUAAAUAUCAUAUGCGAUUGCACAGAUCCUCGUCAAAGGUGAUGGAGAAGGUUGAGGCUAUGCACCCGUGUCCGAUCUGUAACCUGAGGUUUAGCCUGCAGAAAACCAUGGAUAGACACAUGGCCAUCCACAAUAAGGACCAAAAAAGUAUUGAAAGUAGGAAUACCUCCAGAAGCACAUGCAUUCACAAGGACGGAUAGUCAUCCCAUUUGUCACUCUCUAUAGAGCAAUAACGUUUUCUGAGAAUAAUGCUUUAAGUUCAAAUAAAAAAUCAUGGCCGUCGUCGCCUUGCCGCUUACCGUUCUGAUGCCUCAUUCGUAUCUGCUACAUUCCGUAUCUGCGGGGCUGAAGGACAGAUUAGAUGCGAAAUAAAUGUGAAGAAUAGAGAUUUUGUACUCACGUUAUCAGGACUCGUAUGACAUUCACUUCUAAAAGAUUUGGGGCUCGGAUAUGAAUUCCUGAUCAUUCGAAUGUGAAGGUGCACCAGGCACUAUUAAACGAGGCAUAUUCUCGAAUCCAUUUAGUUCUCGAGGCCGGAAGUAUGGUAGAGUGACAGUGUUGACAAAUGACAGCCACGUCAACGAACGAAUGACACAUUAAACAUCAAGGUGCACGGUGACGCCAUGUUUGAUGAGAGAGAGAAGACCGAAGUUUGUUGUACUGACUCAAAAGUAAUCGAAAUGUUUAUAGCUUGAAAUCUAGUUUGUUCAAAAUUUAGCACAAACAAAUUUUUGUUUAUUGAUUGUAUUGCAAAAUUUGUUAAUUUUUCGAGAGAAUCGGAAAAAAAUUAUAUUUUUUCGUUGAUAAAUUUCAGUCACACUACAGUAUUAAACAUGAUGUCUUAUAAACAAAAUUUCCACAAUUUCUGGUUUAAUUUCGAUGAAUUUAAGGAGUGGCUACGCAAUGUGCUAACUGACCCCAGAAAAGCGUACUGCUGCUUUUCUUAUGGUGACUCUCAAAAUCUGGCAACACUGGUACUGAGCUAAAUAGGAACAGAAAUAAGAGCCUGUUGCGGUUGCGGACCACUUAAUAUAUGUACUUUCAUCAUGGCGUACACAAACACAUACGAAUAAGUCGGUAUGCUAUUCAGCUAUUCAAAACUAAAUCCAUUAUAGGGAUACGAAAUAAAGUGCGUAGAGUGGGAAAAGCAGUGCAUCCGUUUAAAUAUAAAA